UAGCUCAGCUGGUAGAGCAACUGAUUUGUAAUCAGUGGGUCGGGAGUUCGAGUCUCUC
rnacentral:tRNA from 1 species